GUUCCUCUUCCCUUUUUCCUCCUCUGUUCACUGAUUCUGUUUUUGUAUAAUCUUCUUAAUUUAAGUUGGAGGUGGAGAUUAGACGUCAUGUACGCACCAAGGCAGAGUUACGGCGGUGGAUGAGGUUGCGACCGCUAUGGUGGUGGAUCAUAAUAUGGUGGUGGUGUUGUAGUGGGUGCAGUGGAGUUUGUGGUGGUCAUCGAGGAUGUGGUGAUGGAUACGAAGGAGGCAGCGGCGGAAGAGAGUAAAUCGAUGGAAAGUACUAAGUCGCGCGGCCACAUAGAACACAUGCAGUGACACUAUGAAAGAGAGCACAACAGGGAAGUAGAGGAAUGAAGUAGAGACACGACAUGGAGGAGCGAGAGAUGCAUACUGGCGUCAACAACAAUGGGCAUGCAAUUUGAUGCGGCUGAGAUGAUUCGGAUGGCGAUAACACGGCACGGAAGAGAAGUCAGUUGCAGCACCGGAAGCGACCAGCAACGGUCUUGGUGCGAUGAUUCUGUAUGCUUUGCUUAUACGCGUCUUUGUCUGGUGUGGAGCUGUUGAUGCAGAAAAUCCAGAACCUCAUUGUUGUUGCCGGGAUUCUAUUUGUAUUUUGCUUAAAUUUCAUUAACCUCUUUCCCUCUUAUAUUCAAUUUACAUCCAAUAUAGAAAACCAAAUCAGAUUUCAAAGUAAUGCAGCAUGAAGUAUUCAUUUUUCCUUUAGUUUUUGAUGUCUUGGCUUUUGUAUUUUCAGAGUAAUUUAGGAACUAAGGCAAAAGAAGGUCCUGCUGUGUAGCUACCGUGGAAGAUGUGUUUCUAGGUUGGUUGAUAUGGAUUCUAUAGCAUAUCCAUACCAACAUCGCUCACUUUUAACCUUACAACUUCAUCUAAUACUUUUAGAAGGACCCUUAAGGUGAUGGGAGUUCUGCCGUGCACAUUUAUUGCAAAGAAUUGAAUAACCUCAUGUUGGAGGUUUUGAAAAGAGGGCCGAGAAUGAAGGAAAAUGGAGUGUUGGUAUCUGACAAGACCAUGUAGAGGAAGCUGCAAAAGUUUUGGAGCCACUGAGGGCACCCAACUCUUAUACUAAGAUAAUUUUCAGCAGUAGGAGUUUUGGCUUGAAGCUGCUCGCAUUGUUGAAUUCCAUUCAAAUGUCAAUUAAGGAUUAAUUGAAGGAAGUAGACCUGUCAGAUUUUAUUGCUGGUAAGCUGGACAUAAGCUCUUGAAGUGAUGAUUAUAUUCCCUUUUGUACUAGAAGAUAAUGUUUGAAGUUAUCUUAGCCUGUUUUUCAUGAUCUAACCAAAGAUAGAGUGGUAACUUAUAAUAUGCGGUCAAACUUUUUUAAGUAGUUCUAUUAUUUU